UGGGGGAUAUUGCGCAAUGGGGGCAACCCUGACGCAGCAACGCCGCGUGAAGGAUGAAGGUUUUCGGAUUGUAAACUUCUUUUAUUAAGGACGAAACUUGACGGUACUUAAUGAAUAAGCUCCGGCUAACUACGUGCCAGCAGCCGCGGUAAUACGUAGGGAGCAAGCGUUGUCCGGAUUUACUGGGUGUAAAGGGUGCGUAGGCGGCUUUGCAAGUCAGAUGUGAAAUCUAUGGGCUCAACCCAUAAACUGCAUUUGAAACUGUAGAGCUUGAGUGAAGUAGAGGCAGGCGGAAUUCCCCGUGUAGCGGUGAAAUGCGUAGAGAUGGGGAGGAACACCAGUGGCGAAGGCGGCCUGCUGGGCUUUAACUGACGCUGAGGCACGAAAGCGUGGGUAGCAAACAGGAUUAGAUACCCUGGUAGUCCACGCUGUAAACGAUGAUUACUAGGUGUGGGGGGUCUGACCCCUUCCGUGCCGGAGUUAACACAAUAAGUAAUCCACCUGGGGAGUACGGCCGCAAGGUUGAAACUCAAAGGAAUUGACGGGGGCCCGCACAAGCAGUGGAGUAUGUGGUUUAAUUCGAAGCAACGCGAAGAACCUUACCAAGUCUUGACAUCCAACUAACGAAGUAGAGAUACAUUAGGUGCCCUUCGGGGAAAGUUGAGACAGGUGGUGCAUGGUUGUCGUUAGCUCGUGUCGUGAGAUGUUGGGUUAAGUCCCGCAACGAGCGCAACCCUUGCUAUUAGUUGCUACGCAAGAGCACUCUAAUAGGACUGCCGUUGACAAAACGGAGGAAGGUGGGGACGACGUCAAAUCAUCAUGCCCCUUAUGACCUGGGCUACACACGUACUACAAUGGAUGUUAACAGAGGGAAGCAAGACAGCGAUGUGGAGCAAACCCCUAAAAACAUUCUCAGUUCAGAUUGCAGGCUGCAACCCGCCUGCAUGAAGAUGGAAUUGCUAGUAAUCGCGGAUCAGCAUGCCGCGGUGAAUACGUUCCC
rnacentral:rRNA from 1 species